GUGCCAGCAGCCGCGGUAAGACGUAGGGUGCAAGCGUUGCUCGGAAUUACUGGGCGUAAAGGGCGUGUAGGCGGCUGCGCAAGUCGCGUGUGAAAGCCCCCGGCUCAACCGGGGAAUUGCGCGCGAAACUGCGUGGCUAGAGGACGGUAGGGGACAGUGGAACUCCAGGUGGAGCGGUGAAAUGCGUAGAGAUCUGGAGGAACGCCGGAGGCGAAAGCGACUGUCUGGGCCGUUCCUGACGCUGAGGCGCGAAAGCUAGGGGAGCAAACGGGAUUAGAUACCCGCGUAGUCC
rnacentral:rRNA from 1 species